rnacentral:rRNA from 1 species
UACGAAGGGGACUAGCGUUGCUCGGAAUCACUGGGCGUAAAGCGCACGUAGGCGGACUCUUAAGUCGGUGGUGAAAUCCUGGAGCUCAACUCCAGAACUGCCUCCGAUACUGGGAGCCUUCGAGUCCGGGAGAGGUGAGUGGAACUGCGAGUGUAGAGGUGAAAUUCGUAGAUAUUCGCAAGAACACCAGUGGCGAAGGCGGCUCACUGGCCCGGUACUGACGCUGAGGUGCGAAAGCGUGGGGAGCAAACAGG